rnacentral:rRNA from 1 species
CCUACGGGAGGCAGCAGUGAGGAAUAUUGGUCAAUGGGCGCGAGCCUGAACCAGCCAAGUCGCGUGAGGGAAGACGGUCCUAUGGAUUGUAAACUUCUUUUGUCAAGGGACAAAAUCAGGCUCGAGAGCCUGACCGAGGGUACUUGAAGAAAAAGCAUCGGCUACCUCCGUGCCCGCAGCCGCGGUAAUACGGAGGAUGCGAGCGUUAUCCGGAUUUAUUGGGUUUAAAGGGUGCGUAGGCGGACUGUUAAGUCAGCGGUAAAAGCCCGGGGCUCAACCCCGGCGAGCCGGUGAAACUGGCUGUCUUGAGAUGUCGAGAGGUAUGCGGAAUGCGCAGUGUAGCGGUGAAAUGCUUAGAUAUUGCGCAGAACUCCGAUUGCGAAGGCAGCAUACCGGCGGCGAUCUGACGCUGAGGCACGAAAGCGUGGGUAUCGAACAGGAUUAGAUACCCUUGUAGUC